ACCUUGCUGGCGCAGUGGUUAGCGCAUCUGCCUACCGAGCAGGUGACCUGGGUUCGAAUCCCAGGCCUGGUA